GUUUGAUCCUGGCUCAGAUUGAACGCUGGCGGCAUGCUUUACACAUGCAAGUCGAACGGGGUUGGGAGCUUGCUUCCAAUCUAGUGGCGAACGGGUGAGUAAUACAUCGGAACGUACCGUGUAGUGGGGGAUAACGUAGCGAAAGUUACGCUAAUACCGCAUACGAUCCACGGAUGAAAGCAGGGGACCUUCGGGCCUUGUGCUAUACGAGCGGCCGAUGUCUGAUUAGCUAGUUGGUGAGGUAAAGGCUCACCAAGGCGACGAUCAGUAGCGGGUCUGAGAGGAUGAUCCGCCACACUGGGACUGAGACACGGCCCAGACUCCUACGGGAGGCAGCAGUGGGGAAUUUUGGACAAUGGGCGCAAGCCUGAUCCAGCCAUGCCGCGUGUCUGAAGAAGGCC
rnacentral:rRNA from 1 species